rnacentral:RNase_P_RNA from 1 species
GCGUAGGGUGGGGAGGAGUCGCCCUUCGGGGAGGAACUUCCGGAUACUUGUAGUGCUUCUGCUGGUUAAGAGCCAGUAUUAGGGGUUAACCACAGAAACUAGACCGCCGGCUUAGCCGGUAAGGGUGAAAGGGUGGGGUAAGAGCCCACCGGCCUAAUCGUAAGAUUAGGUGCUGGUUGCCCCCAGAAGUACAACUUUAAGCAGUGGCAGUAGGUAGCACUACACUUAUGCCACGGGUAAAAGGCAAAAUCCCCUAUGUAAGUAGGGGAUAAAGAUAGAUGACUCCUAAAAAACAGAAUCCGGGGUACUCACCCUACGCUAUA